UGCGUCCGUAGCUCAGCCUGGAUUAGAGCAUCUCCGUCCUAAGGAGAGGGUCGUAGGUUCAAAUCCUAUCGGGCGCGU
rnacentral:tRNA from 1 species